rnacentral:misc_RNA from 1 species
UGGGAGCUGGUAAUGCCCGAAGUCGGUUUUGUUAACUACGGAGACAACUGCCUAAGGCAGGGCCGGUGACUGGGGUGAAGUCGUAACAAGGUAUCCCUACGAGAACGUGGGGAUGGAUUACCUCCUUUCUACGGAGUACAAGUUACAAUUCAUUUUAGUAACAUUACACUUUAUAUGACUAUU